rnacentral:tRNA from 1 species
UAGGGAGACCUACCCAACUUUAAUAUCGAUUGCAAACAGCAAAUAGAUAUAGAGAUGGUCUACUCUAGGUCGGUCGCAGAACUUGAGGUGUGCUUUCAAACUAUAUUUGGUUCGAUUUGGGCUAUUAGCUCAGGUGGUUAGAGCGCACCCCUGAUAAGGGUGAGGUCCCUGGUUCGAGUCCAGGAUGGCCCACCUGAAGGUAAUUAGUAAUUACUAAUUCGUAGUUCGUAAAUAAUUACGAAUUACGCAUUCCGGAUUACGAAUUAUAAUCUGGGGGUUUAGCUCAGUUGGUAGAGCGCCUGCUUUGCAAGCAGGAUGUCAGCGGUUCGAGUCCGCUAACCUCCACCUGUAGCGUCAGCUAAUAUAAAGAUAGGAUAAGUUCAGCAACAUGACAUAGUAAUGUCAGACUGCUGGGUUAGAUUCCAGCCAGAACCUUGAAAACUGCAUAGUAACGCGAAAAAAGCAGGCAGACACAGACAUUGAAAAAGUGAUCGUGUUUGCAAGUUUGAAACCAAUUGUUGAAAGU